rnacentral:rRNA from 1 species
CUGCAGCUCAAGUGGUGACCGCUAUUAUUGGGCCUAAAACGUUCGUAGCCGGCUGAGUAAAUGCUUGGGUAAAUCGUGCCGCUUAACGGUACGAAUUCCGGGUAGACUACUCAGCUUGAGACCGGGAGAAGCUAGAGGUACUCCUGGGGUAGAGGUGAAAUUCUGUAAUCCUGGGGGGACCACCAGUGGCGAAGGCGUCUAGCUAGAACGGGUCUGACGGUGAGGGACGAAACCCUGGGGCGCGAACCGGAUUAGAUACCCGAGUAGUCCC